rnacentral:rRNA from 1 species
GACGAACGCUGGCGGCGUGCUUAACACAUGCAAGUCGAACGGAAAGGCCCUGCUUUUGUGGGGUGCUCGAGUGGCGAACGGGUGAGUAACACGUGAGUAACCUGCCCUUGACUUUGGGAUAACUUCAGGAAACUGGGGCUAAUACCGGAUAGGAGCUCCUGCUGCAUGGUGGGGGUUGGAAAGUUUCGGCGGUUGGGGAUGGACUCGCGGCUUAUCAGCUUGUUGGUGGGGUAGUGGCUUACCAAGGCUUUGACGGGUAGCCGGCCUGAGAGGGUGACCGGCCACAAUGGGACUGAGGUACGGCCCAGACUCCUACGGGAGGCAGCAGUGGGGAAUAUUGCACAAUGGGCGGAAGCCUGAUGCAGCAACGCCGCGUGCGGGAUGACGGCUUUCGGGUUGUAAACCGCUUUCGCCUGUGACGAAGCGUGAGUGACGGUAAUGGGUAAAGAAGCACCGGCUAACUACGUG